CGAAAAUCCCCACAGCCCCGCACACACCACCGCACCAAUCCGACCGGCGCGCGCUGCAGGGGCGGUGUGGCCACUGAUGCUGCAAGGUGCGAAGCCAAGGGCCGCUCUCCGCAUGGCCGCGCGCCCACCUUCACCUUCUCCCCCCAUGAUAGUCGUGGCGUUGGAGCUGCGAGCUGGAGCACGCACGGCUGACACCGGCGACACACGGUGCAACAACCGGGCAUGUCCACUGCCGAGAAGGAGCACGGUGCUGCAAUGGCGAGCUUCGACCAAUGCCAGAACCAGACGCCGCCGGGAACUGCUGGGACCGGCAAUAAAUUUUGCUGGAACCAGUAGGAAUUUUUGCUGCGCACAGGCAAGGGACCGGUGACUAUUUAAGGUGUGGAUGUGCUGCAUUUCAGUUUGUGGGUUGCUCGCUCUGGUUCUUAUUUUAUUUCAUGACAAGACGUGGUGCCUCCGAUGGCGUCAUUGGACAUGGAUGCAUUCAGCUAGGCCGCCUUCUGGUGGUAGACGUGGUCUUGCUGGUCAGAAGGUGAAUAUUGAUCGUGGUCUAUGGGCAGGCUACUAGACAUGCAAUCAAUGGAGCCCCGAAAGGGACCAGAGGUCGCCUCUGGAGGUUGUGCUCACGAUAUUAUCAUUAUAUCAACGAUCAUAGCUAUCAUGCAUUUGAAGUCACAAAGACAAAGUUGUUUCCAAGAAGGCACACCAAUCAAUGACAGUUCAACAUGGCCCAUCAGAACAUAAGUGCCCAGCAAAAUGAAUUCACAAUACAGACUAAGAUCCUGGCAAAGAUAUGAACAACCUAACUAUUGUCGUUCUAGAGGGAAGAGGGCAGCUCUCACACUAAAUGAUAUUCUGUAAAUGGACACUCGGAUAAGAUAGAUGUAUAAGUGGUUAGUUAUGAGGGUUCAUUCCAUUCUCUGCUC